GCUUCCAGCCGCUCAAUCACCUCCUGUUCUUCUGGAGUCACACUAACUGUGUGAGGAAUCUCUUGCUCAGCCUGAUCAAACAUGUCCCCAUCAGAACCAUCCACAGGUUCAUUGAUUAAUUGAAGAAACUCUUGAUCAUGCUCUUGUAUAGAUCUUAAAAGUUGAGGAUUUUGCUUUCCUAGUUCCUGAAGCAUAGGCUGUAAAAUUUGUGGGUUAGCUUGAACCAUGGAACGUAAAGCUUGGAACUGUUGGUUGUUCCUGAGAAAAUCAAGGGAUCCAAGACCAGCACCGCCACCACCAGCAACAUUCUCCUGAGGAAACAAAUUUAAAGGAGCAGAAUUAGGUGCGCCAGAAGAAGGUGCAAUAGGCGCAGCAGUAGGCACAGCAGCAGAAUUAACUCCACCCCGGGCUACCGGUACAGAAACUUCUGCCGUUUCAGGAAUUCCUGAAUAUAAGUAAUCAACAGCUCUUUCAGGAUUGUUAUAAGCAGCUCGAAGUGCACGAGUAACUGUCUCUUUGUCCCAGCUGCCACCACCCAUAUCCAUAAGUUGUUGUAUAGUUUGCUCGAGAUUAUUGCCAGCAACUAAAUUUGAUGCAGCUUGACUAUAAUCAUCAGCUGGAAGACUAGCAGCCGCAGCAUCCGAAGCUGACACAACAUCUUUUGGGGCCUGUGAUGGCGGAAUCACUUCAGGUGUUGUAGUAGGAUUUGCGGCAGUUGCUGGCUGCUGAGCAGAAGUUGUCCCACUUGAGCUAGCAGUUUUGCUCUUGCUAAGCAUGACAACAAGAAAACCAUCCUCAGAGACAUUGUUUUCCAACAAUGUACUUUCAUCUUUCAGCACUUUACCAUUGUGAAUCAGCAACUGCUGCCCACAUGGGUAAUUAUCUUUUCCUUGUACAUCUUCAAUGUUCUUCUUGACUGCCAUAAUCGUAUCAGAUGGCUGAACCCUAAUUUCAAAGUGACUUCCCUUGAGAGUCUUUACAGUGAGCUUCAUCCCUGCGAAUUAGGAGUAAAAAAGAUAGCUUUACAACAAAAAGAAGAAAAACAAACCCUAGAAACUCCCAAUGCUGGAUCGGCUCUUACUCCUUUGCUU
rnacentral:misc_RNA from 1 species